rnacentral:misc_RNA from 1 species
ACGAGUGCGCCUCCGGGCCAUCUCCACCCUUUGAGUGCCAACCUAGUUGCUUUGGCGGGCCGCGGCCCUGCUGCCGCCGGCUUCGGCUGGCGAGCGCUCGCCAGAGGCUUUUAAUUCUUAUCUUGCAUGAGUCUGAGCAAUUUAAAAUGCGAA